rnacentral:rRNA from 1 species
UACAGAGGGUGCGAGCGUUAAUCGGAAUUACUGGGCGUAAAGCGUGCGUAGACGGCAGCGUAAGUCAGAUGUGAAAGCCCCGGGCUCAACCUGGGAAUUGCAUUUGAGACUGCUCUGCUCGGGUGCGGAAGAGGGAAGCGGAAUUUCCGGUGUAGCGGUGAAAUGCGUAGAUAUCGGAAGGAACACCAGUGGCGAAAGCGGCUUCCUGGUCCGACACCGACGUUCAGGCACGAAAGCGUGGGGAGCAAACAGG